rnacentral:lncRNA from 1 species
AUAACAGCUUGUCCGGGACUCUUCUGUGGAUGGGAAAGAUCAUCCUUCAGCUUUCUCCAACCUACUCAACUACUAACACCAGGACCCCCAUCGUGAGCUCAGUGCCGCGCAGCCUGAACAUCUUCUGUAUCCCUAGCGGGUCUGUAGUCGUAUGGUACUCAGACGCACGUGUGUUGUCUUCUUCGGAGACUCCUCCAGGUUUCCAGACUUCCUCUGUGAGGAGAAAUCCAUAAACUUGCAAGCUUGGCAUUUUCUCAGCUCCUUAAUACAACGUAAUAUCGUUCUGGAACGACCUCGGCGACCUGGGACAGUUCACGUUGUUCGGUUUUGUUUUUCACGUUACCCACCUGAACGUAGUCCGGGCUUGAGGAGCUCACUUUUUCCGGGCAACCGAGUUAUCAUCACAGCUACAGUGAAACACGCUCUCACUCUCGCAUAAUCACCA